ACGCUCGACACCUACGGAGGCAGCAGUGGGGAAUAUUGGGCAAUGGGCGCAAGCCUGACCCAGCAACGCCGCGUGAAGGAAGAAGGCUUUCGGGUUGUAAACUUCUUUUAUUAAGGACGAAACAAAUGACGGUACUUAAUGAAUAAGCUCCGGCUAACUACGUGCCGNNCGCGGUAGUAUGNGNGGCGNGNGAGAG
rnacentral:rRNA from 1 species